ensembl:lncRNA
GUGUCAUGCAGUCAUGAACAUCAAGCCUGUCUGAGCCAUCCUGUCGGUCAGAAGAACACAGAAUAGUAUCAAUAAAUGUCAUGGCGAAUCAGGUGUGCUGCUCGCUUUUAUAGUGAGAUUUGCAUAUGUUGUGUAGUUAUGUUUGCUAGAAUGGUCAUGACCUGGUGAUUGGUGUGUAGAAUAGUGUCAUGUGAGAGUGUGAGCUUCUCGCAGUCCCUUAUCAUGAUAGAGCAAGCUGCUACUGCCCUCAGGCAGGCCGGCAUUCCUGAACAACCACGGACAGCACCUUUGAGUGGCGGAGGUCAGCACUCCCUUUAAUGCAUUGAAAGAGGCAGUCAUUUCUGUGGAUCACAGUAUUCGAGGAGGCUUGUCUUUUUUACAACAGUCACGCAGAAUGUGGUCAUGAAAAGAACAGUCUGGUAUCCACUGUCUGCAAUAGUUCACCAUGCUCAGGAAGGACAACAUUUCCUUCUGUGUAGUGGGCCGAGGGACAGAGGUCACAGCUUUGACCCUGUCUGCAGUCAUGGAACGUUUUCCGUGAGACAGUGUGAAUCCCAAAUAUUGAACAGAAGUCUGACAGUACUGCAUUUUCUUUGCUGAUGCUUUGUGGCCAGUCUUUUGGAGGUGCUGGAGAAGCAUGUGUGUAGCAGUUAGACAUAGUUUUUCACUUUCAGCACAGAGGAGGAGGUCAUCCACAUGUGGAUCAGAGUACAGCCCUCAGGAGGAGUACCAUAGAGAAAGCAGCAGAGCUGUCUAUCAUGCCUUGGGGCAAACGAGUUCAAGUGUACCGCUUAUUUCUAUGUGUGAAUGCAAAUAACGGCUGUGUGUCUUCAUGAGAAAAAGGAGCGGAGCAUAAAUCCACCACGGUAAAAUGUGUAUGCAAUGCAUGUCAAUAUGCUGUGAACAUCUGAAACGAGAGGUGGCAGAGGAAUGUUGACUGCAUUAAUUUGCCUCAAGUCUUGUAUGAAACGCCAUACGCCAGGUUUGUUAGGCUUUGGCACAGGAUUGACAGGAGUGUGGGCUUUAUUACUCCUGUAGUCAAUAAAUCUCCUAUGAUGACAUCUAGAGCUGCGGCUUUUUCCGUGGAAAGGGGACAUUGCCUGACAUAUACUCGCUUUUUGUUUUUUUUUAGCUGUACGUGAUAAGGUAUGCAGUCAAUAAAUCCUAUAUCAUUCUCACUUUUUGACCAUAAUGUCAUAUUCUGGUAUGCAGCUGGCAAUGUAACUGCAGAAAUAGUACAGUGGAUAGGGUAGGUUAGAUCUAUGUGACGACAUAUUUCGUAACCUAUGUCUGAGUUUUGUAACAAAAUCACUGUUUGACCUUCACUUGUGUGAGCAGUUAUCAUGUUGUUGAACAGUGUGAGAGAAACAAAAGUGUGGCUCCCAGUCAUGGGAUUACCUGUUAGUGGCGUCUGUACACGUUUUUUUUUUGGCACAGUGUGUGACAUAGAGUACCGGACAAAAAGGAUGUUGAGUUCAUUCUCUGCUGAGGGUCCAGCUGACACAGAGGAUGUUCCUUCUCCAUCAUGUCGGUACAUAGGGCAGAGAAAACAUAAGCUGUUAUCAGUGUCAGCAAACAUUUCACCCUUUAUGUUAAAUGAAAUACACAAAUUCAUUUUUGCUUUGGGUGUCUGCGGCUGCUGGAAAACUGAGCUGAAUUUGCACCUCUAGCUUGUCCAACAGUGCAUAAAGCGUUUUAUGAAUACUAGGAUAGAUUCAUCAGGCUUCUGUUUACACAUAGUUACUGCAUUUAAGUCAAUUUUGUCUCUGGACAUUGUUAGCAGGAAUUUCUUUAGAUUCUUAAAGAAAUCGGCGACUUUGUCAUGUGGGUGUCUAUUGUGGACACUGCCUGAUGCAAAAGUUUUUCUUCAUAGUCGUCUAAAUUGUUUUUCAUAAGUUCCUCACAUUCUUCUUUCAAAAGUUUUUCUCUUUUUUUUUUAUGUUCUGCUAAUUCUUCCUCGCGGCGUAUAUAUUGUUUUUCCUGAUCUUGUUUAAAGAGAUGGCUAAGAUCCGUUGCAUGUGAUUCAGAUUUUUUGUCACUGUCUUUUAAGCUGGUUGGAUCAGAAUGCUGACAUUGUUUGCGUGCAGCUGCUGCAGCAACUAUUAAUUCGGUCUCAUCUUCGUAAGGCGGCGGGGCUGUGGGCUGAAUGGCUGAGCAUGGAAGACUAGCUUUUCCCGCAGUAGAUUUAUUUUCUUUGCUAGAGCCUGCACUAGUUUUAUUUGAUGUUAAAGCAUCUACACCUGGUUCCGGUCCCUUUUUCCAUAGUGGUAACAUUUGAUGUAUCACGUCGCGGCAUUCUAUCAUAUAUUUUCUACAGGACUUUUUAAGCAGACUACUUUUCUUAUCACAAAUGAUAUUCAACAUUUCUACUGACCUGUUUUCUGGCGAUAAUCGUUCGGGAUAAGGCUCCGAAAAGAAAUUAGAAUGCAUUGAACUUCUUAAGUUGUAAACAAAGUCAGUCACAUAAGCACUCCCGCAUGUUCUGGAUACGUGAUCAUGGACGUCUUCACCGAUUCGCGGACGCAGGUUACACGUAACCGGAAAUGGGAGUUAUACUGAGCCGUUAUUUGAGACUUUAUUUUGUAUUUUAUUAAUUUUUGGUUUUACAGGUACUUUAGAUUUUUUAUCGGACCUGUCUGUGGUCUUUGAAUUAUUCUGACCCAUGUUCAGUGAUUUCCAGAGGGGUUUACACGCUAGGAGGAUUUAGGUUAGUAUUUUCGCUGCGGCACAGCUGAGGUCACUUUAAAUUUAUUGCUAGCAAUUUUUUGUUUGUGUGAGCAACUCUCACUUAGCGAGCAACUUCUCGCUUAACGAGCAACUUCUCGUAAAACAACAGGCAACUUCCUGUGUUCUUUCUGCUUUUAAUUUACUGCUUUUAACCCUUGUAUGGUAAUCGGGUCUGUGAGACCCGUUUUCAGUUUUCUUUCGUUUUUUUUUUUUUUUAACAAAAUUAAAUUUAAUUAUUUACUAGCUUUCUGUGAGUGAGCAACUUCUCACUUUUUAACGUACGUUUCAAGAUAACAGGCAACUUCCUGUGUCCACCAACACCACACAAGGGUUAAUUUACUUUAUUCGGGGACUGAGGAAGUCAGUCAGUGUAUCUCUCUGGAUCACUAAGUGAAACUUCGUCAGCAUAUCCCGUUUUUUUAUGGAUUCGGGGACUGAGGAAGUCAGUCAGUGUAUCUCUCUGGAUCACUAAGUGAAACUUCGUCAGCAUAUCCCGUUUUUUUAUGGAUCGAUCACUGAGAGAGGUAUAAUAUGGUCUCUAUAUAAAUAUGAAAGACACAUAUUUACCUUCUGUCAGGAUCCCACUUCUGACACCAAAAUUGAAGGAAAUUGCCUUCCCGGGUUUCCUCCGUGGCGUGAGCGAUAAGCAGAGUUUGUCCUUUCCUUAUAAGACUCCUAAUUAUUCAAAGUAACACUCAGGUAUGCCAUUCAGCGUGUUUAGUACGAGCUCGGGAGCAGCUUGGGAGAACAAGAAAACAGAGACUGCUUUAGGUUGCCUUCC